ensembl:snoRNA SNORA74 Small nucleolar RNA SNORA74
CACAGCUGUAGGCAACAGCCUAGGUUACAUUGUACCUAGGCAAGUGCUACACUGCUGGGAGAAAAGCAGCUAACAGCUGGAGGACAUU